GGAGUUAGGAAAUGUAAGUGCGUUAAUACCGCAUUUAUUUGACGAAGGCUCCAAAGGAAGCCACGGCUAACUCUGUGCCAGCAGCCGCGGUAAUACAGAGGUGGCAAGCGUUGUUCGGAAUUAUUGGGCGUAAAGAGCACGUAGGUGGGUUUGUAAGUCAGAUGUGAAAGCCUUCUGUUCAACGGAAGAAUUGCAUCUGAAACUACAAGUCUUGAGUGUAGGAGGGGAGAGUGGAACUUCUGGU
rnacentral:rRNA from 1 species